GUUUUGUCUGCGGCUCGUCCUGCUACAUUUCUUGGUUCCCUGACUGGGAAGCGAGGUAACUGACGGAACGCCAAGGCAGCCCCUUAGGCGGCUUAGGCCUGCCCUGUGGAGCAUCCCUGUGGUGGACUCCGCCAGCCUGAGUGACGCGAUCCAGAGAGCGCUCCCGGGUAGGAAAUUGCCUGGGUGGAAUGCCUUACCAAAGCAGCGCGUAGCAGGCCCCCGUGGAGGAUUAACACAGUGGCUGAACACUGGGAAGGAACUGGCACUUGGAGUCCGGACAUCUGAAACUUGCAACCCACUGUCUGUGCUAUGACUUCAUUACUCUUUCCCAGCCCAGCCCUGGGCAAGCCCCUUACGAAAUCUCAGGCUACCUGGAUGACCACCCUUUCUUAUGGUGCUGCAAGGAGGGCAGGUGGGCAGAGCCCCGUGCAUCCUGGGCUCAGGCCAGGGACCCAAGAGCUUGGGAGAAGCUGGUUCUCAGACUGAAGGCCAGAGCCCUGCACCUUGUCACCAUCCUGAGGAGCAUCAUGGCACACAACAACCAGAGCAAAGUAGAGACAGGGUUUCACCAUGUUGGCCAGGCUGGUCUCGAACUGCUGACCUCAAGUGAUCUGCCCACCUCGGCCUCCCAAAGUGCUGGGAUUAUAGGCAUGAGCCACCGCUCCCAGCCUCCCUCCUAUAUCUCUUGAUCAAACUUCAGGGGAAAACCUGCCAGAUUCCCCAGGAAGGAUGCUUGGAGGUGUGCAGAGAGAAGUCUACAUUCCCAUGUCAAGCUACAGCUAGAGAGUUGACUCCUCUAUUUGAGAUUGACAGGCCUAGGAAGUCAAAAUAAGUGGUUUCCUAGACCUGGUCAAGAGCAAGUCUCUAUCGGUCCCAGCUGAGUUUUUUCAGCUGUUUUUUUCAACCAAACAGCACCCCAUCUCCCAGUGAGGGGAAGGGAAGGCUGGGCUCACAGCAGCAAGGCUGCUCAUCUCACCUGUCCCCACUCAGCCAUGCCAGCCGCCACACCUGGUGGGGAGAGGUGGGCCUCACCUGAGUCCCCUGGCAGUGCUCUGUGAAGGGUCUUGAUAUUGCACUGUAAUAAUAAAGGUGUGUGUGAAGUAUCUUUUUAUGGUGACUUUCUAAGAUCCAGGGAAUCAUGGGACCAGUUCUGAUGACUCAGCCUGGCUUCCAAUCUCCUCCAGGCCCAGCGGUGGCCCCCAGCACUGGUCGGGGCUUGGGAGAGCUGGCCUUGGCUGAAGUGAAGCCACCUACCCUUCAGGCGUAACAGGACGGUGAGAAGGAAGGAAAGCAUGCCUCAACCUCCCAUCAGCCCUGAGCACCCCAGUGGGGGGCUGGCUAGGAGUCUAGGCAUGCAGGAGGCUGACCCCUGACCGGGCUCAUAUCCAGCCACAAGGCAGCCAGGGACCCAGGCACCCACCCCUUGUCUGUGUCCCUCUCGGAAAUGGGCCUCUUGUCCAGGCCAGAAAUACACCACCUACAGUACAAAUUAUAAUCUAAAAACAAGAGGGUGGUGUUGAGUGGGGAAAUUGGGGAAGGUGUUUUAGGAGCCACUAGGAAAAUAGGCAGCAGGGACUCUCUGGACUGGCUUGGGGAGAGCGCUUUUGGGGAACCUGGAGGAUGGCAAGCUGAGAAACACUAGUGUGGAGAUUCCAGCCAAAUCCCAGGCCUGCCCCUCCCCCUCCUCUGAGAGGCCGUCCUCUUGGCAGACAGCAGAGAGAUGCAUGACAAAGGUGCCGUGAUGGUUCUGUCCUGGGGAUUGAGAUGGCUGGGGAGGGGCCUCCUCCUGUUCCGAAGCAUGUUCCUCCCACCCCUACCAGGCCCCAUAAUCUACCUGCCUUUUGGGCAGUUAAAGGCUGAGAAGUGAACACCGCUCCAACACCACUGCCUUGUAGACCUUCCGGCAGACCUGUGGCUGGUAUUGAAGUGCACACAUACAACUAGGCUCAAAAAGUCUACACAGACAGGAGAUGGGCACACGAACAGAGGCAACAUGAGAGUGGGGAAAAAGGCUCAAAAGACUCACGGAUGCCACCAAGAUGAAGACAGCUGGCCACAGGACACCCAUCCCCUCAGAAGGCAGACAGAGCCACUGACCCCAGCAGACAAGCCCAGGCAGGGCUGAGCCUGGAGCCUGCAAUGAGAAGCCUUACUUAAGUCGACAGAGGUCAGCGUGCCCAGUCCAGACCUGGCCUUCUGGCCUUUGUAGCUGUGGGGAGCCCUGGCCCAGAGCCCCCUCUGGAGCCCCCGGACUUACCCCAGGCCCUCCACUGAGAUCAAGUUUUGGGAGCAGACAGACAAACAUCAUCCCUCACAGACAGGCAUUCCGUUGGCUAUUCUCUUGCAAACAGAAUCAAGCACUAGACCAGCAGCAUGAGCCUCAGGAUACUCAGGCCAGGCCCAGAAAAACAGACCCUGAAGGGGAGCUUAGGGCAGCCUUCCUGCACCCCUCCACAAAUCACUCUCCACCUGCUCUGCAUCUUUCUGCCAGCCAGCCCCACUAAACAAAGCACAUCCCUCAAUCUGGGGGGCUGGGGGAGGGAUGCACGAUGAAGCUGGACGCCUGAGUCCCCCAGAGGAAGGAAGAACUAGAUACCUAGGUCCCUGUGGGGGGCCCUUGGUGCCCGUCUGAGGCUCAGUCUUUGAGGGGAUUGCAGAGGGGGGUUGCUGGAGCUCCUUUUAGCGUCUCUGAAGGGGAUUCUGUGUGAGGGGAUUGGGACUGGGGGGUUGGGGAGCAGGAAGCAGUCCCCAGGGGAGCCAUCCAGGCCCAUUCAAGGGUUGAGCACUUGUUUAGGGUUAGAGCUGCCCCCUCUGGGGACUGGGAUUGUCCAGCCAAGGCCAUUGUCCUGCCCCCUUCCCCCAGUCCCUCCCAGGCUUCUUUGAACCUGAAGUCAGAUAUUUUUUUCUCUACACCCCCCACCCCUUGGUUUUCCCCACCCAAGGCCUAGGGCUGGAGGCCUGGGCCAGUGAGGUGGGGGAGGGAGAAUGGGGCUUACUAUGGUAUUAGAUGUCUGAGUUUUGCUUGAGAGGGGAGCAAGGAGCCUGAUGUGCAGGUUCUAUAGUGGAGGGGGCCCAAAGCAGGUGACUGAUACCUCUGUUUGGGCAAAGGUUGGGAAAC